AUGAGGACACCAGGACUGCCGAGGCAGAGGACUGAUGCCCGCGGGCCUGCACACGCUGGACUACCGCGCACAGGGGCUGGUCUGAGCCGAGCGUCCAUUACCGCAGACCUCCCUAGACGCUGCCAGGUCGAAUGUCACUGCUUUGGCCAAAGGCUGCUCGGACUGUCCGGAGCACAGAGCAGGCGCGCGGGCUUUAGGGGAAGGGACGGGCUCAGCACCGGGCGCGGCUCGGACUCGGUGGCCCCGUCUGAAGUCACCUUCACGCCGGCUCAUCCCGCAGCCCCGCCCCGGGUGCAGACACAACGUUGGAGCCCGGACGCGACUUCUCCUUUCCAGGAGCUCGAGGUGGAGCCCGCGGUCACGGCCGAGGGGCUGGGGUGGCUCGGGGCCCCGAGAGCGGGAGGUGAUGGCGGACAGCGCCCCGCAGCCCUCCGCCUGCUUUGCUCCCAGCGGGGCCACAGGAGGCUGUGGGCCAAGAUCCAGACUUCUCUGUGCCUCAGUUCCCUUAUCGACAACAUGGGGCGAGUAACAAUACCCUGUGUGGCUGUGGUGAGGGUUCAGGUGAAGUCUGUGUGCCUGGCACAAAGUCAGCUUUCAAGGGUUCCAGAACUUUCCAUCAGACCCCAGUCUCCUGGUAUUGGAAAGUGAGGAGGCAAAUGUCGGCAGUUAAUUUUGUCUCUCUCUGAACCACAAACAGGACCUGGGGCCCUGAGGUGAGGUCUGGGCACUGUCAUGGGAGAAAGAGUCAUGGGGUCUGGCCCGGACUGACGGGGCUCCCCCAGGUCUGCUGGGGAGUCAGGUCCUGUGGCCGGAUCAAGGCCUGGCGUGGACAGAGAGGGCUGUGGUCCGAGGGCUGUGGACCAGGCAGUGAGUCACUGUCCGGGUCAACUGAGUGACAGACGCAUGGGGGGCUUCUGGGUUUCCUCCUGCCUGAGGCUGGGGGCUCGCAGCCAGCCCCUCCGUCCCUCCUGGGGAGCCAGGGUGAGAGAGUCGGCAGGGCCUCCCCACCCGGGACCCCCAGAGGCUGCUCCCGU
rnacentral:lncRNA from 1 species